rnacentral:lncRNA from 1 species
CUACUAUUAGUUAAUAGUCCAUAUUUUAACUUGGCUGCGAGUACAAUAUGCUCCUAACUGCUAUUACUAAUUAGUAAAGGGACGUGGCGAUGAAGAAAAUCGCUCUAUAAAUUCCGCAGUCAACGACGCGGGAUGCAGCGGUACAACUCAAAACAAAGAGUUCCAAAGUGAAGCAGCUCAACUGCGCCAUGCAUCCAAGCAAGACAUCUCCAGCGAAUGAGAAGGACGGACGUAACAUCUCCGUGGACAUGUACCCGUUCAUACGCAAGUACAAGGACGGCAGCAUCGAGCGUUUCCUACGCAGCCCAUUCGUGCUGGCGUCGCCGGAUCAGGCCGGCAACCGUGGAGUGGCGACGAGGGAUGUCGUCAUCGACAAGGCCCCUGGCGUGUCUGUGCGCCUGUUCCUCCCGUCCCGUGCCGCCGAGACCGCAGACAGGAAUCGGCUUCCCCUCGUCAUCUACGUCCAUGGCGGCUCGUUCUGCACGGAGAGCGCUUUCGGCCGGACGUACCACCGCUACGCGACCUCCCUCGCCGCCAGCGCCGGGGCUCUCGUCGUGUCGGUGGAAUACCGUCUAGCGCCGGAAUUCCCCAUACCCGCGGCCUACGACGACGCGUGGGCCGCGCUCCAGUGGGCGGCGUCUUCGUCCGACCCGUGGGUGGCCAGCUACGCCGACUCGGGGCGCACGUUCCUGGCCGGCGACAGCGCCGGCGGCAACAUCGUUUACCACACGGCAGUCCGCGCCAGCCACGAACUCAACGACGACAUGAUGGACAUUGCGGGGCUCAUCAUGGUGCACCCUUACUUCUGGGGAGACAAGCGGCUGCCUUCGGAGCUCGCGUGGGACGUCGGUGACGGCGUCGCGGCGGUGUUCCCACCGUACGGGGUGGACCGGCUGUGGCCGUUCGUGACGGCCGGCCAGGCCGGCAACGACGACCCCCGGAUCGACCCUCCGGCCUCGGAGAUCUCAUCGCUGGCCUGCCGCCGCGUGCUCAUGGCCGUGGCCGGGAAGGACACUCUGCGCGAGCGUGGCCUCGACCUGGCGGCCAGCAUGCGUGAUCACGACGCGCCGUGGCCAUGGAUGAUGCUGUUGGCGCUGCCUCCUCGCAGCGCUGCUUCUUCUUCUACCUCUUGCUGCCUCUCACAGCUAGACCUCUAUCUCUCUCAAGUUUCUCUCAACAAGAACAACACUACAAAGAAAACACAUACGUACACACACACACUUCACCAAGGAAGAGGAACGCAUUGGCUUUGCCAAAGAGACUUCCUAGGUGAGCACACAAUGGCUACAUGUUUCUUACCCAGCCCUCUCGGCCCCCCAUCUCAUUCAUCUCUUCAAGUUAAAUAGCCAGUACAGACGCACUAACCCACUAACUAAUAGAUGACCUUUUCCUACGCCCACUAGUGCACGGAUGACCCCAUCUUUCCUAGAAUCUCUCCAGGACUUUGCACCGUCGGCUAACAACUCAUGCAUGCAUGCAAUAACUAACCUAUCUUAUCUCUUGACUACAACUAACUUAUUCAGCCGAUCUGCCUCCAGCCAUCCCACGCCUUGCCGCUUCUCACGGCCGUGCUGCCUCGCGCAGCACCACAGCAUCACGCCUACACACCGCAUCGCACGGUUGCCGGGCAUCUCGCUUCCUUGCGUGCUUCAUCUAAAACUUCACUGAAGGACAACUCGCUAAGCUAAGCUACAUGCAGAAUCAAACUUAACAUGCUGAUACAAAUAUCAAGAUUAGUUCUAACAUUCACCCCCUAAUCUUGAUAUCACAAUCAUUAUAUGGAUCACCCGCAGCCACUUGUCGACGCCGUCGCAGCGCCACAUCCGGCCACUCCUCGCCACCGACGCCGUCACAGCGCCGGUCACCACCGUGCACCAUCUUGUCGUGGUCGACGCCGUCGCAGCGCCCAUCACCACAUCGUCCUGCCACACGCAGCAGCCACCUCAUGACGUGGACGACGCCUUCGCAGCGCCGAUCACCAUGCUGUCGCAACGACCCAUCUUGUUGAUGGCAUCACACCACCCUAGACAGCACCGUCGACGAGCUCGACGCCGAUCCUCAUGACGGCUUCGCGCCGCCGUACCUCCCAACGGCGUCACACCGUUGUCUUCUUGUGGCAGCUUCGCGCCGCCAUCUCCAUCUAGCGGCAUCGCACCGCAGCCGGACAUCAGCGGCAUCGCGCCGUCGCCGGCCUCCUCCUCGCGCCGUCAUCCUCCACCUCACAUGGAGACGACCGCGCCGCCGUCGCUAUCACGGACCAACCUGGCUCUGAUACCAAUUGUUGGCGCUGCCUCCUCGCAGCGCUGCUUCUUCUUCUACCUCUUGCUGCCUCUCACAGCUAGACCUCUAUCUCUCUCAAGUUUCUCUCAACAAGAACAACACUACACAGAAAACACAUACGUACACACACACACUUCACCAAGGAAGAGGAACGCAUUGGCUUUGCCAAAGAGACUUCCUAGGUGAGCACACAAUGGCUACAUGUUUCUUACCCAGCCCUCUCGGCCCCCCAUCUCAUUCAUCUCUUCAAGUUAAAUAGCCAGUACAGACGCACUAACCCACUAACUAAUAGAUGACCUUUUCCUACGCCCACUAGUGCACGGAUGACCCCAUCUUUCCUAGAAUCUCUCCAGGACUUUGCACCGUCGGCUAACAACUCAUGCAUGCAUGCAAUAACUAACCUAUCUUAUCUCUUGACUACAACUAACUUAUUCAGCCGAUCUGCCUCCAGCCAUCCCACGCCUUGCCGCUUCUCACGGCCGUGCUGCCUCGCGCAGCACCACAGCAUCACGCCUACACACCGCAUCGCACGGUUGCCGGGCAUCUCGCUUCCUUGCGUGCUUCAUCUAAAACUUCACUGAAGGACAACUCGCUAAGCUAAGCUACAUGCAGAAUCAAACUUAACAUGCUGAUACAAAUAUCAAGAUUAGUUCUAAC